rnacentral:ncRNA from 1 species
GGGGAUCUUCGGAGCCCUUCACCCGAGACCCGCAAGGGUCGCGAAGCAAACGGAAGACAGAGA